rnacentral:lncRNA from 1 species
AGCGAGAAUGUCAAUCACAACAAAGAUGGAUGCUUCCGAUCUGGUCACAAAUAAUAAGCCACAUUUUUUUCACCUCUGUUGGCUAAAGACUGAUGACUAGUCUUGAUAGUGCCACGCCUUGAAAACAGACGAAGUCUGCACAUUUGUUUUGUCCAAUUUCAAACAGUCGGAGGCUGAGGGGACUUGCAACGUCACGGUUGGGCUAGCUAACUAACUUGUGGGAGCCAGUUACGUUUGUGCUUUUGCAGCAUAAACAGCUAUCUAUUUCAUGGACUAUAACGUAGUAUAAUAUAAGCUGCUUUGUAUGUAGUCAACAUACCUUACAUGUAUAGGUGUGAUCUACAAAUUUGGAAUGGUAACGUUAGCAUAUUAGCUAGGACCAAAGAACAAGUCGCUAGCUAUCGAUCCAACUGGUUUUGGUUUCAUUGUUUUAGUCACGUGGUGUCAGCGAAGCGUCGACUGUUGCAGUAACAAAUACUUUUUUCCAAUAGUGUUGCGCAAAAAUAAAAUGUUUUUAUGACAACCAGGACUUAUUUCGAGGAAAACAUGUGAUGCUAAUGUAUGUUUCCAGCAGCAGUGUCCCUAAUGCUGCAGGGUCUCAUCGUUCCUUCUCUAUGUUGGACUGAACUGUUUCAUCUCUUCACAAGUGAAUUCCUCAAAGCCAUAAAGUGGGGGAGAAGGAGACCAUCUACAGUAUGACAGGAGCAAAGGUGUUCACCCAGAGAAGGAGACCAUCUACAGUAUGACAGGAGCAGAGGUGUUCACCCAGAGAAGGAGACCAUCUACAGUAGACAGGAGCAGAGGUGUUCACCCAGAGAAGGAGACCGUCUACAGUAUGACAGGAGCAGAGGUGUUCACCCAGAGAAGGAGACCGUCUACAGUAUGACAGGAGCAGAGGUGUUCACUUGAGGAGUCUUCUCGGUCAAGAUAAGAUUUCCUGCUUGCCAUACUAGAGGGAGAUACUGGUUAUCUUUCAACUCCACACCAUGGGAUGAUUGACCUGGAUCUUAACCAGAACAGACUUCACCAGACACAGUAGAAGUGAGGUCACAGGAAACAGACUGAUUUGUGAAGAGGGACUACAUCACCCAGAAAGCAUUGUGUCCCUGGAGGCCAGAGCUUUGUUGGAUGUAAUGCCUUGUUCUCAACCUCUGAGUGUUCGGAAAUAAGACUUGUAAACUCGGUGCAUUCACGUACCUUGAACCAAGGUCAACCAUAAACUAACAGUACAGCUAUCAUGCUGGUAUGAAACGGCAGUUGAAAAUAGGUUUUCUAGAUCAGUCCAAACAUUCCUCCUGACUGUUAUAAUCAACAUGUUUGAAUGCUAAAAUGAUAUGGGACAUUUUUCUAUUGCAACGCUUGAAUCACGUUCAUAUUUUUGGUUAUAACCCGCACAACUUUUCAGCUCUUGGUUGUUUGCUUUUAAAAAUAGUUUUUAGUACUAACUUUUGUUUGUUUACAUUAAACUACUAGUUUUUGUUGUUUCCACUAAGACUGUAAUGUCAUUGUAAUUGGCAACAGUGUGGUGUUUUUGGGGUGAUUUUAACUCACAUCUCUAAAGAUAAACCACUCCAGUUCUUAGUCCAUGAAAAGAGGUUGAUUUAAUAGUUAAUGGUAACUUGAUAUAGCUCCUUGUGGUUUGACAUUCAUAUGGUCCCCCUGCCUGUGUGGGAUCGAAUCCCGGCCUCUGUAUCUCCACUUUAUUCAUAUCUGUCACAAUAAACAAAACGUUUCUUCAAAAAAAAAAUCUGAUUAGAUAAAAUCUAAUUUAAUAACCCAUAGUCAAUUUCUCAAAUGGUC